rnacentral:tRNA from 1 species
GAGGGUAUAGCUCAGUGGUAGAGCAUGCCUAGCAUGCACGAGGUCCUGGGUUCAAUCCCCAAUAACUCCA